rnacentral:rRNA from 1 species
UACGAAGGGGGCUAGCGUUGUUCGGAAUCACUGGGCGUAAAGCGUACGUAGGCGGACCAUUAAGUCGGGGGUGAAAUCCCAGGGCUCAACCCUGGAACUGCUUUCGAUACUGGUGGUCUGGAGUCCGGGAGAGGUGAGUGGAACUCCUAGUGUAGAGGUGAAAUUCGUAGAUAUUAGGAAGAACACCAGUGGCGAAGGCGGCCCACUGGCCCGGUACUGACGCUGAGGUACGAAAGCGUGGGGAGCAAACAGG